rnacentral:sRNA from 1 species
GCCGGGCACGGUGGCGCAUGCCACCACUUUGGGAGGCCGAGGUGGGUGGAUCACUUGAGGCCAGGAGUUCGAGACCAGCCUGGGCAACAUGGCAAAACCCUGUCUCUACUAAAACUGCAAAAAUUAGUCGGGCAUGGUGGCACAUGCCUGUAAUCCCUGCUACUCGGGAGUCUGAGGCAUGAGAAGCACUUGAACCUGGGAGGUGGAGGUUGCAGUGAGCUGAGAUGGCGCCACUGCACUCCAGCCUGGGCAACAGAGUGAGACUCCGUCUCA